UACGUAGGCGGAAUAUUAAGUCAGUAGUGAAAUCCUGCAGCUUAACUGUAGAACUGUUAUUGAUACUGGUUUUCUUGAAUAUAGUUGAGGUAGGCGGAAUGUGUAAUGUAGCGGUGAAAUGCUUAGAUAUUACACAGAACACCGAUUGCGAAGGCAGCUUACUAAGCUAUGAUUGACGCUGAGGUACGAAAGCGUGGGGAGCGAACAGGAUUAGAUACCCUGGUAGUCC
rnacentral:rRNA from 1 species